rnacentral:rRNA from 1 species
AAGGAUCAUUACAGAGUUCCUGCCCUUACGGGUAGAAACCCCACCCUUGUGUAUACUAUAUUGUUGCUUUAGCAGGUCGUCUACCUUAGGGUAGCGUUGGCUUCGGCCGACCGCGCCUGCUAGAGGACCUAAAACUCUGAAAUACAGUGUCGUCUGAGUACUAUUUAAUAGUUAAAACUUUCAACAACGGAUCUCUUGGUUCUGGCAUCGAUGAAGAACGCAGCGAAAUGCGAUAAGUAAUGUGAAUUGCAGAAUUCAGUGAAUCAUCGAAUCUUUGAACGCACAUUGCGCCCCGUGGUAUUCCGCGGGGCAUGCCUGUUCGAGCGUCAUUUAUAACCACCUCCUACUCUAUAGUAGGGUCUUGGGCUUCGCCUCUGGGCGGGUCUUAAAAUCAGUGGCGGUGCUGUUAGGCUCUACGCGUAGUAAUACAUUUCGCGAGAGAGCCCUGGCGGUGUCUUGCCAGCAACCCCCAACUUCUUAAGGUUGACCUCGGAUCAGGUAGGGAUACCCGCUGAACUUAA